GGAAACUGUUAGAGGUGACACAAAUAUUUCGCUGGAUUCUUACUCUGGAUCACCCUCAACCUUCUCUUACAUUGACAUCAAACAAAGGAAGCAUUCAUUUGUGCCGUGAGUUCAGGAGAAGCAAAAAUGGGAAAAGUGAACGUCUGCUUGAAACGGAGUUAUAUUGUCGUAAUAAGCGUGAUUGCAGUGAUCAGUUUGGUGGUUCUGGUAUUCACUCCGUUUCUGUUUUCUGACCACGAACUGAAAGAGGAAGUACUCAGGACAGCAGUCAUGUUGUCUUUUUAUUUUAUAAUUCUUUUGCGCCAUUGGUGUCUGGAAAGAGAAGAAGUGGGCUCUAAAAGUGGUCGGCAAAGAAAAAAAACACAAGAUUCCUCAUAUUUCUAUUAAAAUACAAUUUAUGACAAAAACAAAUAGAUCUUUCUUUCUGUAUUUCUCUGUGUGCGUGUGUGUGUGUGUGACAGUAUGCAGUUGGAGUGAUUUUAGAGAGUAUCGUCUUGUUGGUGGUUAUCAUUCUAUUAUUCGUAGGACUGGCUUCCCACACUGAGGUAUUACCGAGUUGACUUUAAAAUGUGGAGUUUGUGUGGGGGUUUUUGUGUGUGUGUUUGUUUAGUUGAAUCCAAAAUGUGUUUUAGAAGAUACAGUAUUGUUUGUAAUAAUAUUUUUAAUAUUACUUUGUUUUUGUUGUGCAGCUAGUUGAAGAGCUGAAGAAGGAAUACCUGAGGCUUUUGCCGCUGACGGAAAGCAGCAAAGAGUUGCUCGACGAUUUACAGACAGAUUUGGAGUGUUGUGGACUUCAGGGAUACCAGGACUGGAAGUCCAACAUCCCAAAAUCCUGCCUUUGCGCCAAAGAGUCCACUAAUCCGUGUGUGGAAACUCUUGGAGGCAUCUGGGAGGAAAAUCAGACUGUUAUGGUUUAUGAACAGAUGUUGUCCCUCGUGUUGUGUAGAGCCAUCUUGCGCCAGCUGAAUCGAAACAGAGACACCCCGGUAGUGAACUAAGGUGCAGAGGCAAAAGCAGGCAACUACACCACCCACACAGAGCCUCCAGACCACUUCCGAUGUCUUUGCUAGUUCUGAUGCUUCCAGCAGUGAUGGCCAUUAUUUAAGCAUGCUAAAUAAUAAAUAUAUUUAUGACAAUUGCUUAUAUUGAAUAUAUUCUAC